rnacentral:tRNA from 1 species
GCCCUAGUGGCUCAGUGGUUAAGCAUUUGGUUGUUAACCAAAGGUUUUCAGUUUGAAUCCACCAGGGGCA